rnacentral:rRNA from 1 species
AUGGUUGUCGUCAGCUCGUGUCGUGAGAUGUUGGGUUAAGUCCCGCAACGAGCCGCAACCCCUAUUGUUAGUUGCCAUCAUUAAGUUGGGCACUCUAACGAGACUGCCGGUGAUAAACCGGAGGAAGGUGGGGAUGACGUCAAAUCAUCAUGCCCUUAUGACCUGGGCUACACACGUGCUACAAUGGAUGGUACAACGAGUCGCGAGACAGUGAUGUUUAGCUAAAUACUCUUAAAACCAUUCUCAGUUCGGAUUGUAGGCUGCAACUCGCCUACAUGAAGUCGGAAUCGCUAGUAAUCGCGGAUCAGCACGCCGCGGUCGAAUACGUUCCCGGGCCUU